rnacentral:rRNA from 1 species
UACGUAGGUGGCAAGCGUUGUCCGGAUUUAUUGGGUUUAAAGGGUGCGUAGGCGGCCUAUUAAGUCAGUGGUGAAAUAUCUCAGCUCAACUGAGAGUGUGCCAAUGAUACUGAUGGGCUUGAGUACAGAUGAGGUAGGCGGAAUUGACGGUGUAGCGGUGAAAUGCUUAGAUAUCGUCAAGAACACCUAUAGCGAAGGCAGCUUACUAGGCUGUAACUGACGUGAGGCACGAAAGUGUGGGGAUCAAACAGGA